AUGGGUGAGAUCCACCAGUCUUAUAACUUCAGAUCUUCAGACAUUGACAGGUUUUUGUACAGCAGUGCAUCACUGUGGUUCGUCUUCGGAGGAGGGACCCAGUUGACAGUCUCUGGUCAGCAAACAGUGCCUCCAAAGGUGACUGUCUUCCCACCAUCCCCUGAAGAAAUACAGACCAGAAGCAAAGCCACCCUGGUGUGUCUGAUGACGGAAUUUCAUCCAGGGGUGGUCCAGGUCGAAUGGAAGGCCGACGGCAACCUCAUCACGGAAGGAGUGGAGACGACCAGACCCACCAAGCAGAACGAUAAGUACCUGGCCAGCAGUUAUCUGACUGUGAGCGGAUCGGACUGGAAAAGCCGGGAGACCUACACCUGCAAGGUGACGCACCAAGGACAGGUCAUCGAGAAGUCGGUGAAGAGCUCAGAGUGUCCUUAAAGCUUGGGUGACUCAACAGCACCCCUCCUGCCAGUGUCCCUCAGGAGGAGACAGUCCUCCAUGAUGCUGAGAGUAUCCCCCACCCAAUUUCCUCCUCAUGCUAGUUUGAUAAAUUAAGGCUGAUUUCUGUCCUAUGCAGUUCCAUCCCCAUACUUCCUCCAUGUGUAUUUCCCAAGAAUACCCUUGUAU